rnacentral:rRNA from 1 species
UAGUGCGAACGGUGAGUAUACAUCGGANCCCGUGUUAUUGGGGAAUACGUACGAAGUUAGCUAUACCGCAUACAAUCACGGAUGACAGGGGACCUCGGGCCUGUGCUAUAGACGGCGAUGUCUGAUUACUAUUUGGUGAGGUAAAGGGUCACCAGGGAGAUCAGUACGGGUCUGAGAGGAUGAUCCGCCACACUGGACUGAGACACGGGCCAGACUCCUACGGGAGGCAGCAGUGGGGAAUUUUGGACAAUGGGCGCAAGCCUGAUCCAGCCAUGCCGCGUGUCUGAAGAAAGCUCCGGGUUGUAAGGACUUUUGUCAGGGAGCAAAACUUACUGGUUAUACCCGGUGAGGCUGAGAGUACUGAAGAAUAAGCACCGGUAACUAUGUGCCACAGCCGGGUAUACGUAGGUGCAGCGUUAUCGGAAUUACUGGGCGUAAAGCGUGCGCAGGCGGACUUUUAAGCCAGAUGUGAAAGCCCCCGGAAGGCUUUAACUUUGGGAAAUUGGCGUUUGGGAACUUGGGGGAGUUCCUAAAGUUCUUGUCCAGAGGGGGGGAUGGAAUUUCCCACGGUUGUUAGCAGUUGAAAUUGCGUUAAAAAUU